rnacentral:tRNA from 1 species
GGGCACAUGGUGUAGUUGGUUAUCACGCUCGCUUAGCAUUACAUGGUAUGCGAGAGGUGUUGGGUUCAAUUCCCAAUGCGUCCA